CAAGCACCCAUUCUGUGCAUAGCACUGUUCCAGAUGUGAUAAAAAGGAUUUUUUUUUUUUUGGGUCUUUUUGCCUUUUUGCCUUUUUCUAGGGCCGCUCCCAUGGCAUAUGGAGGUUCCCAGGCUAGGGGUCCAAUCGGAGCUGUAGCCACUGGCCAACACCAGAGCCACAGCAACGCAGGAUCCGAGCCGUGUCUGCAACCUACACCACAGCUCACAGCAAUGCCGGAUCAUUAACCCACUUAGCAAGGGCAGGGAUCGAACCUGCAACCUCGUGGUUCUUAGUCGGAUUUGUUAACCAUUGUGCCACGACGGGAACUCCCCCAGAGACCUUUAAAUUCCCUAAAACUAGGUUUGGAGGAAGAGAAUUGUCUGUCUGUCUCUCUCAGCUCUUACUAGAUUUUGCUUUCUCUUUAAGUUACACACGUGGCUGUGAACAGUGAUAGAUCCUUUAACCCAGACAGCCAUGGGAUGUUGGAGGAGCAGGGCGAGCAGGAGGCUGGCACCUGCAAAGCACGGGCAAAAUCCCAGUGCAGACCCUUCAGUACUGGGAAGGGACGGGGUCAACACAGGAUGGUGUUUUGAAACAGAACUUUUUUAUUAUGGCCAGGAAAUUUGCCUGAGAUGCUGUUUAGCUGGGUCUGCCCUGGCCUUCAUUGAUGCAUCUGUCACUCUAGGUGAGGGCUGUGAACAAGGCAUCCCCUUCUUUCCCUGGCUUUCAGAAACUCAAUCCCUCCCCCUCACUCCCUUCUGUGGGACCUUAGAACAUUAAAGCAGCAGGUAAUUUCUCCUGCUGAGGACGGAGCUUAUUAUGAUUCAUUACUUUAACAAAGUCAGCAUAAUAUACAUGUAUUUCCUGUGGGAGUUAAGAAUAAACAUGAGCUAUGGUUGCUCAGUUUUACAUUUUCAGCUUCGUUUGCCAAGACCAUAGCCCUGAGGCUGGACAUUCAGCUGUCAGUCCAGUUGGGUACAUCCAACUGGACUGGACUAGAGGGGGGGGGCGCCCUGGCUUUGUCCUGUGCCACCCACAUGUGAGCACAUUGAUGCUUAGAAUUAUCUGCUGCAAAUAUAUCUCAAAUACACUAGAUGCAAAGUCAUCUGAGAUCCUUAUGCAUUUUUCAGUGUCAGAGGCGGCAGAUAAAAAUAAUCUCUUUGCAUCAUGUUCUCUUGGCUUAGGAAUGAAUUAAGUGACACCACUGCAGCCCCAGGCUGUCAUGCUGCUGUUGGCAUAGCCAGUGAUCUCGCCAGCCCUGCUUGCUCUGGGUAUUGAUUCAUUUUAAGAAACUGGAAUGACACUUGGAGCACAACCCCUUUUUUCUUUAGAUAUUGAAUUCUAAUUUCUGACCUGUCAGCAUUAAGUUAACAAAGAUGGUUUCUUCUGGCUGGUUUGCCCUUAAUGAUUGGUUCAUUUUAACGUUUGGAUUCUCUUCUUGGAUUUCCAAAUCCGUUUCUCAGCCUAGAUGUCAGUAAUUGCUAUGUGCUAUUUAUUUAUUUAUUUGGGCUGUACCCGCAGCAUGUAGAAUUUCCUGGGCCAGGAAUCAAACCCAUGCCACAGCCGUAACCCAAGCUGCAAAAGUGACCAUGCCAGAUCCUUAACCCUCUGCAUCACCAGGGAACUCCUGGGCUAGCUAUUUAUAGUUAAUUAUAUUUGUAGAUUGCUUCUGAAAGAUCUGGGGCAGAUGUUUUUGUUGUUGGAUAUGCAGAUCAAGGUCUGGUUUCAGAUUAGUUCCAAACAAAAGUCUGGUUCAAAACUUCCAUCUUUAGUUUCGAAAACCCUCAAUCCCAUUUAUGUGUGUGUGCCCUAUUCCCCCUCUUCCUGCCUUUAAGGGCGAGGGGAAGGUAAUUAAGCCCAGGAGCAGAACAACAGCAAAGGAGGAGCCCUCAGUGGACAGAUGGUAGUGGGUGAAGAGUAGCUGUUGAAACUUGAGUAGCUGUUGAAUCUUGUUGACUCAUUCCUCUACCGCCAUCUAGAGUCUGGUAGUGAUACUGCCUUAACUCCUGUCCUGUGACAAAAAGCCAGUUGAGGGUCUUAGAUACUGUAUUGUGUUGGCAAAGAGUGACGAGCAGUUUCUUGCUACUUGACUAGCCACGUAAUUAAUUAGUCUAUGGUGCAUGAACACGCAUGCUAGGGAUUUAAGAAAUCAUUAGGGCCUGAGUAAUAUACCUCCUAUACUUCAACCGGGGUUUUUGGAGGAUUGGCUUUUAUUUAGAAGUACAUUUAGAAGUAAAUUAGGUGCUUCACGAGACUCUGUGAGUGUGAUUAUCCUCUGACUGGUUUGCAUUGCUCUCUCUAUUUUCAUAAAGACAGGCUGGAGAUCUUUAUUAUUAAUCACUUGCACAGAUGAUAUUAAUACGGGAAACUCCUCCAGGCAGGUUUUCUUUAAAACAUGAUUUCCCUGGCAGCUGUGGUUUUACUUAGCUUGUGCCCCUGCUCGGUAGGACACCUUUGCGGAAAGAUGCCCUUCCUUCUUUUGGGCUAUUUGUCUAAGCACAUGUAAACAUUUACAUAAUUGAUGAGGCGGUUCUGAACUGUCUGCAGAUUCUCUCUAAGCCGUUCCCGAGAGUAGGACAGAGAGUACUUGAGAACCCAGAAGUGCUUAGGAAAAAGUCUUUAAUAUUUUCAGAGAAAGGUUCACUUGGGAUGAUGCUCUUAAUAGCCUCAUCUGGAAGGAUGGGUGGAGCAGCCAGUAAUUUGGCUAAGAAAAAGGUUUUGAUUGCAUUUGCUAUUGAUACAGACAUUGAUAUAAAUAUAUUAAAAGCACUCUUUUUGGAAAAACAGUGGAAAGAGGAGAGUUUUGUGGAUGACAAGGAUGACACCAUGUCUUUUAAGCGUGUGCCCUGCCUGGCACCUCCCAGGUAUGCGUGGGUCCCUCCCAGGAGCCCAGCCCCUGUGUUUACUGAGCCUGUUUGUCAUGUCAGUAUCUGCCUACGACGGGGUGUCUGGAAGUAGAGAGUCGGAGCGUUGUGAGAAUGAGGAAGGCUGAGCACUGGGGGAGGAAGGGCCAGCAGGUCCUUUCGGCCACUCUGCAUCUUUUUGUCUCUUGCUUCUUAGGUCAAGUAAUUACAGCUCCAGUUAAAACGUAGUUCUCGAUCUGAGGUGCCCAGUAAACCCUGAAGGGCUGGUAUAAAGAUGAAAAUGUCUUUAUUGGACAGAAUCCUCGCAUUAUUUCCACUUUCCAAUUAGUUAUAACCCUCGCCUUUCUGCCACUUGUAAAAAGCGGCUUUCGGGAGAUAAUGUGUGGAAAGAACUCCCACUGUCAGUUCGGUUUUUAAAUGCUACAUUUGUUUAAAUUACUCCCUCACAAGGCUAGCAGGUUCUGUUUGGGGUACCAGUGUGGCAUAUGGGGGGUGAGUUGGGAUAUACCAUCAACCACAACAAAAAUGGCUCAGGAGUUCCUGUUGUGGCUCAAUGGAUUAAGAACCCGACCCCGUGAGGAUGUGGGUUUGACACCCGGCCUUGCUCAGUGGGUUAAGGAUCAUUUGUUGCAGUGGCUGUGGUGUAUGCUGGCAGCUGCAGCUUGAUUCGACCCCUAUCCUGGAAACUUCCAUAUGCCACAGGUGAGGCCCUAAAAAGAAAAAAAAAAAGGCUCAGAAUUUUGUAAUGGAAUGCAGUGCUUCUGGGUCAUGUUUUAAAAUAAUUUUCCAGUCCAGAAGCAGCCAAGCACGGCUCCUGUUGGGUGGUUCAGCCCCCUGCAUGCUGGCUGCUGGGGCGGCUGUCCCAGGUGCUGGCUGAGGCUGAGUGGGACUGGACGCCUAGUGGAUGCUGAACCCACACGUGAGGACCCAAGGACCGUCUGUCCGAGUGUUCUUUGCUGUGUGCUGAGAGAACGGCUGGCUUUUCCCUCCACUGCCUUUGUUUUGCCCAGUGGAGCUGUGCGUUUCGGCAGCUGAGCACCCAGAGCCCACCCUGCACAUCUCCCCUCCCAGGGGACAACCCCCCCCCAAGAUGCCCGGAUGUCCCUGUGCACAGUGACUGACAAAUACCCUCUGAAAAUACCCCAUGUUUAUUUAUUUACUUAUUUUUGUCUUCUUAGGGCUGCACCUGUGGCAUAUGGAGGUUCCCGGGCUAGGGGUCGAAUCGGAGCUGUACCUGCUGGCCUACACCACAGCCACAGCAACUCGGGAUCCGAGCCGCACCUGCAACCUACACCACAGCUCACUGAGCGAGGGCAGGGAUUGAACCUGUGUCCUCAUGGAUACUAGUCAGAUUCAUUUCCACUGAGCCAUGGUGGGAACUCCUGUAAAAUUGUAAUUUAAACUAUUAUCUAAUUAUGAAUUAGUACUAGUAAAUAUUUUCACAUUUUUACCAAAGGGUAUAAAACCCAAAACAGUCUUUUAAAAAAAGGUGGAAUGAUUUCAUUAUUGAGCUCUAAAACAGUUACAGUAAAGCUGAAAGUAAGGGCUAGCCCGCAUAUAUUAAUUAGUAAAAUCUGUGUCUUUUGGCAAAGAUGCUGAUUCAGUUAGCAUAGUAGACAAGGAGAGUUGCGGGUUCGAUCCCUGGCCUCGGUGGUUUGGGGAUCCGGUGUUGGGGGAGCUGUGGUGUAGGCCGGCGGUUACAGCUCUGAUUUGACCCCUAGCCUGGGAACUUCCAUAUGCCGCAGGUGUGGCCCUAAAAAGAAAAAAAAAAAAAAAAAAAAAAA
rnacentral:lncRNA from 1 species